ACCCACGGAGCACAAGAUCAUGACCCGAGCCGAAGUGGGACGCUCAACCGACUGAGCCACCAGGCGCCCCAAAGUGUUUUUUUUUAAAGAAAGGAUUUUCUACCUGGAAUGCCCUCCUUCCCUUGACUCAUUCUUUGCAAUGAGUUCAGCUCAACAUCACCCCUCCUCUGAAUGCUGUCCCAGUGCUUUUCACAUCCAGUGACUUCCUUGUUCUGUGUGCUGCACUUGAGAAGGGACUCAGGGCCCUGACUCCAACCUGGAAAUAGAAAGGGAAGGUUAUGAUGCCCAUUGCUCUUGGCCAUGCUGGAGGGGUAGCCAUUGAUUUCUACGCCUACACCCCCCCUGGGCCAUCCCCUAGAAUGGUGCCUGCGCCAUUGUUGGCCCAUAAUGAAUAUGCUGAAUAACAGACAUAAAAAAUUGCUCAAGCCAUUUGGAUUCUCCCAGGUGGAAAAUACAUUAGAUUUAUAAAGGUUUUUUUUAAUUUUUUUCCCCAUUUUUUUCUGUUGAUGAUAUUUCUAACCUCUUAGCACAACUUUGACGUGUAGUAGAGCGGACAUGUAUGGUUUUCCUUCACCAAGCCAGAGCAAUGACAAUAUUGCGUUCCCUGCAUGCGUGGACCCCCCCCCUCCAAGUCAAUGAAUGUGACACUUCUGCUCUAUGUGAACUAUAGAUAAAGCAAUAUUGUUCUCCACCAGACGGUUCUAAGCUGGUUGGAUACAAACCCAGAGCAGCCUGCGGCCUCCGUGCCACCCUGUGGGAAGGACCUAACUAAGAAGAAAUUUCAAAAAGAAGAAGGCACAACAAGAGAUGGAGAGACUGUCUCUUUGGCUUGAGAUGUAGCGUCAACCAUGCCUGAAGCUAAGUUCUGCCUGGACUUUCCAGUCUUGAGAGGCAAUAAAUUUCCCUUGUCACGUAA